rnacentral:rRNA from 1 species
CGUGAGAUGUUGGGUUAAGUCCCGCAACGAGCGCAACCCUCGCGUCCAAUUGCCAGCAGGUAAAGCUGGGGACUUUGGACGGACUGCCGCCGUAAGGUGUGAGGAAGGUGGGGACGACGUCAAGUCAUCAUGGCCUUUAUGUCCAGGGCUACACACGUGCUACAAUGGUGAGGACAGAGGGCAGCUACUCUGCGAGGAGAUGCGAAUCUCUCAAACCUCAUCCCAGUUCGGAUCGGAGUCUGCAACCCGACUCCG